rnacentral:rRNA from 1 species
UACGUAGGGGGCUAGCGUUGUCCGGAAUCAUUGGGCGUAAAGCGCGCGUAGGCGGCCAGAUAAGUCCGGUGUGAAAGUCACAGGCUCAACCUGUGAAUGCCGCUGGAAACUGUCUGGCUAGAGUCCGGAAGGGGCGAGUGGAAUUCCUGGUGUAGCGGUGAAAUGCGCAGAUAUCAGGAGGAACACCAAUGGCGAAGGCAGCUCGCUGGGACGGUACUGACGCUGAGGCGCGAAAGCCAGGGGAGCAAACGGG